AGAGUUUGAUCAUGGCUCAGAUUGAACGCUGGCGGUAUGCUUAACACAUGCAAGUCGAACGGUAGCAGCUCUUCGGAGGCUGACGAGUGGCGGACGGGUGAGUAACGCGUAGGAAUCUGCCUAUUAGUGGGGGACAACUUGUGGAAACGCAAGCUAAUACCGCAUACGCCCUACGGGGAAAGGAGGGGAUCUUCGGACCUUUCGCUAAUAGAUGAGCCUGCGUUAGAUUAGCUAGUUGGUGGGGUAAGAGCCUACCAAGGCGACGAUCUAUAGCUGUUCUGAGAGGAAGAUCAGCCACACUGGGACUGAGACACUGCCCAGACUCCUACGGGAGGCAGCAGUGGGGAAUAUUGGACAAUGGGCGAAAGCCUGAUCCAGCAAUACCGCGUGUGUGAAGAAGGCCUUAGGGUUGUAAAGCACUUUCAAUUGGGAGGAAAAACAAGGGUUAAUACCCCUUGUCUUGACAUUACCUUUAGAAGAAGCACCGGCUAACUCCGUG
rnacentral:rRNA from 1 species